AAAAAAAGGUAAUACUGAUCGUUGCUCAGUGUCAGAUUAUGAUAUUCUUGUUAUUCAGUGCUUUGUAUGUUUUGUAGUGUAAUUCGCCCAUAGGUCAUGGUAACAAUGUGGUAGAUGAUUUUUUUUUUAAAAAAAGUUUGGUUUGUUCUUUCACUGGAUUCUUCUGCUGUUUAUUCUUACAAUUCGAUGUGGUGGCGGAAGAGGAUGAGCGACACAGACCAUAGUUGCCCAGACCUUUCGAUUAGUGAAAGUGAAUCUCAUCAAGAACCUUUAACAUAAAGAGAACUGGAAGCCAUUAGUUGAGUAGGUUUGUGUGCAUAAAGAGCUAGAGCACAUCAUUACCCUUUGUGUCUAAGGAGCUUUCUUUUUUAGGUCCAUAGACGAUACUUGUAAUUAUUUUACACUUGUGCAAAAGAGAAGCAACUUUCCCCCCUCAGAGCAGAGUGAAAUGACAGAAGAGAGCCAAUGAGGCUUGUACUAAUUCGCUGGGUUGUAUUAUGAUUAUACACCAAAGUUCCUUUUUACCUUCAAGAUGAUUCGUCAAGCAAGCGUGUGCACAUACUUUUUGAUGUUCCCCAUUAUCUCUAAUGAUUUCUUAAGCUGCGUGAGCAAUCAACCUCGAGUCCGACUUUACUAUAAGGUGAUAUGAACCGCCAAAAAGAAGUUAUAGGGGCAACUAAUUUAUGCUUUGCCUCCAGAUUCUUUGAUGUGAACUUCCACGAUUUUUACUAAGGGCUAUUACUGUUUUUCUUAAUAUCCACAUUUCUGGAGGUUAGGGCCUGCUUAAUUUUUUAUCUACUUGCUGCACUUUCUUACAAUACUUUGUAAGGCAUAUAUCUCUAAGCAUAAUAAUCUUAAUUACCAAGUUAAAAGAUCUCUUUGCCUCUUUAUGGCUCUUUAGUACCCUUUUUUUUGGCUGCAAAACAUAAUCCAUGAUGUAAAUUGAUUAAAGAUAGGUGAAAAAUGUAAAAUCAUCCUCUUUUUACUUGAGCUUUUGGAAAACAUGAUGGUUGGAUUGAAAUAGUAAUAAUUGCCAAGAUAAUCUUGCCUUCGGCACUAUUAGUGUCAUGCAAGAACCCACAGCUCACGGCUACCCCCAAGAAGUUACAUCAGAAUCAAACGCAUAGAGCCAAUCUACAGUGAGAUGGAUUCUGGUUCUAAACAAAAAUGCUUGGCAGCACAUCCUCAUACGAGAUUUGGAAUAUUAUCUUCAGUCAUUUCAGAACGCGAGUUCAAGAAAUUGGAUUUAUGCUCGUCAGGACAGCAGCUGAGCAUUACAUGGACCGCAGCAUCGACCAGCAGAAAUGGAUUUGGCACACUGACAUCACUCCUUGGAAUUUCCACAUUGCAACAAUCAGGACGACGUAAGCGAUCCAGGUGCAAGAUCUGUGAAGGAUACAAUGUCAAGAAUGUCUAAUUUCAGUUCAGAUGAUGGAUCAUGCAUGUGAAGAUGGGGGUGAUAUUUACGACAGGUGACCUGCACGGCGGCACCUAUGUCAGUGAUAAAAAAUGUCAAAGACCAUAAUGCUGUUUCCAGCUGAAAUUGAGAAGAUUCAUUAGAUCUAGUGCGCAUUUAGAGUUUUAUUAGUCUUACUCUUACUCUUCCUAUCACAGAACUACCAUUAGCACAAAUUAUUGUUUCUUCAAAACGACAGGUACAAGGUACAGGUAUGUCCUUUUGAGACUGUGUAGGUGCAUCCAGGCGAGGUUUGCUCUCACCAUUCAAGUUGGGGAAUGAGUUGUACUCUACUAGUUGAGUCUAUCACAAAGCUUUCGAUGUCAACUGCGAGUUCAUUGUCGUUGUGCUUUUUUGUCUUUAUGCACCUUAAGCAUGACUGUAAUGGCCGACCCGGCAAAUCUAAGACCGGGAUUAGGGAUAAUUUGAUGGGUAAACUCAGAUGAUGGGUGGUGUCUGCUGCAGCCCCUGGAACUAAAGAAAGUGAUGGUGCUGAAUGCUGGGUCAUUUUCCAUGCUACAUUCACCUACAAACGUUACCUUUUAGAUCUGCCUUUUUGGGCGUUCGCAUGCGUUUGGUUGUGACUAUAAUUGUACGCAUUUAUAUUUCUGGAGCUGUGUUUUUUCUUUUUCAUUACUUUUUUUUUUCUUUCCCUUAGAUUAUGGAUGGAUAUGUGAAGAACCAUUGGUGCAAGCAGGGUUGACAACCUGCUGAUAACUAGUUUCUCAGGUGAAGUUGUAAGAUACCAAAAAUGGCUGAAAUGUUUUAAAUUUUAAUUACGUGUUUGAUAGUUUCUCAGAUUUCUAAUCACUUUCCUUCCAGUCAGUUGGUGGAGCAGAAGGUUUUGAUUGGGACUUCAAAAGAAUUGUUCUGUUUCCUGCAAUGUCCCUGUAAAAAAUAUUGUUUUCCAAAAAGACCUUAAAUCAUGGCUCGUGAUAAUUUUUGAACUACAUGUUCCUGCAUUUCUUGAAAACAUGUGCAUUUCUACAGCAAUUUUGUCAUCUGUUGACUUUCUUUUAAUCAAUCAUUUUGCAGAUUUCCUGUUUUAUAGAUGGAUAUGAACGGAGCCAGGGUUCGGGAAACCAUCCAAAAAAACUGGCCUCUAAACUGGAACUGGACAGUGAGAAGAACUGUCUAGAUGUCACUGAGAGCGCACUGGCAAUACUGCAAGAGAGAACUGUGGAUUUAACUAGUGGCAAAAACAGAGGAUAAUGCCCACGUUGGAUCUUCGAUACAUUUUCCUUUGUACAAGUUGAUCCCACCGUUCAAACAGUGUUUGCA